rnacentral:rRNA from 1 species
CCUACGGGAGGCAGCAGUGGGGAAUAUUGCACAAUGGGGGAAACCCUGAUGCAGCGACGCCGCGUGAGUGAAGAAGUAAUUCGUUAUGUAAAGCUCUAUCAGCAGGGAAGAAAAUGACGGUACCUGAGUAAGAAGCCCCGGCUAACUACGUGCCAGCAGCAGCGGUAAUACGUAGGGGGCAAGCGUUAUCCGGAUUUACUGGGUGUAAAGGGAGCGUAGACGGCAGUGCAAGUCUGGCGUGAAAGGCGGGGGCUCAACCCCCGGACUGCUCUGGAAACUGGACGGCUGGAGUGCAGGAGAGGUAAGUGGAAUGCCUGGUGUAGCGGUGAAAUGCGUAGAUAUUAGGAGGAACACCAGUGGCGAAGGCGGCUUACUAGACUGUAACUGACGUUGAGGCUCGAAAGCGUGGGGAGCAAACAGGAUUAGAUACCCGUGUAGUC